rnacentral:rRNA from 1 species
CCUACGGUGGGCAGCAGUGAGGAAUAUUGGUCAAUGGACGGAAGUCUGAACCAGCCAUGUCGCGUGCAGGAAGACGGCUCUAUGAGUUGUAAACUGCUUUUGUACAAGGGUAAACCUGAAUACGUGUAUUCAGCUGACAGUACUGUACGAAUAAGGAUCGGCUAACUCCGUGCCAGCAGCCGCGGUAAUACAGAGGAUCCAAGCGUUAUCCGGAUUUAUUGGGUUUAAAGGGUGCGUAGGCGGAUUGAUAAGGUAGAGGUGAAAUGUCCGAGCUUAACUCGGGAACUGCCUCUAAUACUGUUGAACUAGAGAGUAGGUGGGGUAGGCGGAAUGUAUGGUGUAGCGGUGAAAUGCUUAGAGAUCA